rnacentral:tRNA from 1 species
GCAGCAGUAGCUUAGUUGGUCAAAGCCCCGAACUCAUAAUUCGGUCAUCGUAGGUUCAAGUCCUACCUGCUGUA